GUAUAUUCAGAGCCAAUGUUAACAACCAGAGCCCGACAUCCAGGCUUUCCCACAAACCCAAAGAGCAUGUUCCAAAGGUUGAAAGUGCCUCUCGGUGUUGCCAGGACACUAAUGGGUCCGUACGGAGUAGACCGAGCUGUUCAUUCCAUGGAGUUCACAGACUGUGAGAAUGGCCUGGGAAUAAAAGUGAUUGGAGGAGUGAAGGAGGUGACCGGAGAGGAGUUUGGAGUCUACGUCAAACGGAUUUUACCAGGUGGCCUUGCUUCAGCCGAUGGUAACCUGAUGCCAGGGGACCAGAUCUUGGAGGUGAAUGGGGACAGUCUAGUUGGAGUCACAAGUGAAAGAGCUGUGGACGUCUUGAGAGCAGCCUCUGCAACCAAUCACAUGCGCCUUCUUAUAGCCAGAGACGAGGAAGCAAAGAGGGAAUUUGCUGAGCUGAUGGAGAAAUAUGGAUCCAAUGGUAGCACGGGAUCAACACGCAACUCUCCCAUCCAGCAAGGAGGUCGCUACCUGGAUAGCACAUCAUCGGGUUCCUCGUCCCGCUCCCAGAGUCCUUUGCUGCUGAGUCCAGCAGGCUCUCAGAACAUGUACAACAACAGUGGGCCUAUGAUGCGCUCCCUCAGGUAA
ensembl:lncRNA